rnacentral:rRNA from 1 species
UUUAACCUUCGGGAGGGCGCUUACCACUUUGUGAUUCAUGACUGGGGUGAAGUCGUAACAAGGUAACCGUAGGGGAACCUGCGGUUGGAUCACCUCCUUACCUUAAAGAAGC